AACGCACAUUGCGCCUCCCUUUACCGGGAGGCAUGCCUGUCUGAGCGUCAUUUUAAAACCCAUAAGUCUUCGGAUUUGUGUUGGGCUCUGCACCCCCCCGGGGCGUGCACCGCCUCAAAGCGCUGGGUCUUGGACUUAUGGACGAGCUCCUGUAGGACUUUAACCGUGGGUUCGACCCCGAACCGUCGAGGCCCUCGGGCCUCUGAACCUUUGACCUCAGAUCAGGUAGGAAGACCGCCUGAACUUAA
rnacentral:misc_RNA from 1 species